rnacentral:miRNA from 1 species
CAGGCGGGUGCUAAUACGAUCA